UACGGAGGAUGCGAGCGUUAUCCGGAUUUAUUGGGUUUAAAGGGUGCGCAGGCGGUUUUAUAAGUUAGAGGUGAAAAUUCGGGGCUCAACUCCGGACGUGCCCCUAAUACUGUAUGACUAGAGAAUAGAUGCGGUAGGCGGAAUGCGUGGUGUAGCGGUGAAAUGCAUAGAUAUCACGCAGAACUCCGAUUGCGAAGGCAGCGUACCGGCGCCCAACUGACGCUGAAGCACGAAGGCGUGGGUAUCGAACAGG
rnacentral:rRNA from 1 species